rnacentral:lncRNA from 1 species
UUGGCCUAAUUCUAUCUAUCACUCGAUUAAUUGGCCAAUAUGUCCAAUUCAACUCCAAUUAACUCCAUUUUUCUCCCAAUACUCCAAAUCAUUAAACACAAUUUAAAUAACUUGAAAUGUGGCAAAAUCAUCCUCACAUUUUCUCUUGAAAAAUUCGACCAUUUUGAGUGCAUCAACACCAUGAUUUUUCCUACUUGAUUCUCACACCACAAAUCACUAAUUCCUAACCAAAUCACUUGAAAUAAAAUCAAAAUCAUCAUCAAUAAUCUACAUGGAGAAUUCGGCCAAUGAUGGGUUAUGGGAGAAAAUGAAUUUUUCUUGUUUGAUUUUCAUGCUACACAUCACUAACUAACUAAAAACACUAGAAUAUCUUAAAAUCUAACCAAAACAACCAUCAAAUCAUCUCUCUCUAAAUUCAGUCAGCCAUGAAUCCUUCAUGAUAUCUUGUGAUUCAACCAUGGAAAAUGCAAAAUAAUGCAUGGGAAAGGUAGAUUACAAGUCAAAAUCAAGAAAUUUUACCUUUGAUUGCUUGAUUACUUGAAUUUUCACACUUUUCCCUUGAAUUUUUCCACCUAGGGUUUGUGUUCUUCUUUUCUUCCUUUGUUCUUGCUAUGGCCGGC